rnacentral:rRNA from 1 species
GACGAACGCUGGCGGCGUGCCUAAUACAUGCAAGUAGAACGCUGAAGGAGGAGCUUGCUCUUCUGGAUGAGUUGCGAACGGGUGAGUAACGCGUAGGUAACCUGCCUGGUAGCGGGGGAUAACUAUUGGAAACGAUAGCUAAUACCGCAUAAGAGUAGAUGUUGCAUGACAUUUACUUAAAAGGUGCACUUGCAUCACUACCAGAUGGACCUGCGUUGUAUUAGCUAGUUGGUGGGGUAACGGCUUACCAAGGCGACGAUACAUAGCCGACCUGAGAGGGUGAGCGGCCACACUGGGAAUGGGACACGGCCCAGACUCCUACGGGAGGCAGCAGUAGGGGAAUAUCGGAAAAGGACGGAAGUCUGACCGAGCAACGCCGCGGGGGGGAAGAAGGGUUUCGGAUCGUAAAGGUCGGUUGUAAGAGAAGAAAGAGUGUGAGGGUGGAAAGUUCACGCUGUGACGGUACCUAACCAGAAAGGGACGGCUAACUACGUG